rnacentral:rRNA from 1 species
UACGUAGGGGGCUAGCGUUGUCCGGAAUCAUUGGGCGUAAAGCGCGUGUAGGCGGCCCGGUAAGUCCGCUGUGAAAGUCCAGGGCUCAACCCUGGGAUGCCGGUGGAUACUGUCGGGCUCGAGUCCGGAAGAGGCGAGUGGAAUUCCUGGUGUAGCGGUGAAAUGCGUAGAUAUCUGGAGGAACACCGGUGGCGAAGGCGGCAUCCUGGACCAACACUGACGCUGAGGAGCGAAAGCCAGGGGAGCAAAGCGGG